CUGCUCAUUUACUUUUCAUUGAAGGUCCAAUAGGUUUUGGUUCUUUUCCUUCAAUGCCUUCAGCUUUUCUUCAAGUUGGUGUUUGAGCCUGAUAGCAAGUUCGGACUCUUUUUUCUCCUUCUAGAGAAUGAUUAGAUUGGCAUCCAUCACCUCUUUAUUCUUCAAUAGGUAGAUCAUGUUCUCAUACAUGACUUUGACGUCAACAACGACCUAUAGGGCAAAAGGUCAGAUC
rnacentral:lncRNA from 1 species